UACGGGGGGAGCAAGCGUUGUUCGGAUUUACUGGGCGUAAAGGGCGCGUAGGCGGCACCGCAAGUCGACUGUGAAAUCUCCGGGCUUAACUCGGAAAGGUCAGCCGAUACUGCGGGGCUAGAGUGCAGAAGGGGCAACUGGAAUUCCCGGUGUAGCGGUGAAAUGCGUAGAGAUCGGGAAGAACAUCGGUGGCGAAGGCGCUCUACUGGACCACAACUGACACUCAGGGACGAAAGCUAGGGGAGCGAAUGGG
rnacentral:rRNA from 1 species